CUAGCUCAAUGGUACGGCGACCCCGGUUCAAACCCCAAUAUCAAAAGAAAAAUGUAACAGGCCUUUAUCAUUUCAUCAGAAAACUAUUCCAGUCAACCAUGGGGACAAACUUCACCAACCCAGCUACAAACACCGCAGUGGAAUCCUUCCAUUCAACUAGACAGAUGCAACUGCUGCCACACCUUCUUUGAUGUCUUUUCCAACCCUCUUUUCUCAUCUAAACUUAAUGCCUUUUGUUCACCUACCCUUUCCCACAUCACAAAAUCGAGCCUCAAGUCCUCUCUAAAGUACCCGUCUACAGUUUCCAUCCCUAAACGCCUAAACCUGCUAAUUUAUUUGAGCUGUUCUUAAGCCGUCCCCUCCCUACCAAUCAAACCAGGCUCCCUACGAGCCGGGACCCGACGAUCUUGGUACGUCAUGAUGACGACAAGGAAGUGUGAACUCUGGGUUGCGGGAGCGUCCGCACAGGCGGUAAGUGGAGAGAGCAGGUGGAACUAUGCGAGUGACGCCCUUGCAGAGCCCUCCACUGCCUGGUGCAGAGCGGUUAAGCCCACACAAGCGCGGCAGACCUCUGCGGAAAGGGAAAGAGCAGAAGGCGACACGGUCCCGCCUCAACCUCACGAAGGAAACGGGGAAACGUCCACGACCGACAAGCGACCCCUCACUCUUCGUUGGCGCUGCCCCAGCAGCCGCCGGCCCGCGGACCCGGAAGUGGUUCUGCGCGCCCCUUGCGUCGGGAGCGGCGGUGUCCCCGUGCGUCUGCGCACACCGGCUCCAAGCGCGCCCUUCGUGCGGCGUCGCUAGACAAGCCCCGCCGUCCUGCGCAAGCGCAGUCAAGGACUCGGUCCUGCGGUAGGUUUGAGUUUGGGACACCGUCUUUACCUGCUCUGCGAAGUUCCAAAGCCACUUGUCAAAGCCACCUAGUGAGGAGUCUUUCCACCCCGGUGCGCUUGCUAGGAGUUAAGUUCGCUCGCACCCUGGAAUAGGGCUGGGGGACGGGGGUUGGGGACUUGGUCGCUGGCUGGGAAGACCCCAGUGGAGCAGGCCGACUGAGAGGGAUGCGCACCUGCGGCCAGGAGCGCGGGGAGAACGCCGAAGGGGCACUCAGGCGCACGGGGCAGGGCUGGCCAAUCGAAGAAGGCACGGACGCAGGCAUGAAACGUCGUUUGCCUUCCUAGGAGUUUCGGAAAUAGGACUAGAGAGUGCAGCCCUGUAUGUGUCUAGAUGAGGGGUGGAGCACGAGAGGUGACAUUUGAUCCUAAAAGCUCUUAAUUUCCAAAGCCACUUGUCAAAGCCACCUAGUGAGGAGUCUUUGUUUAACCCACCAGCUAGUGGGUAAUACAUUGGAACAAGGCAAGGGUUGGGAAAAGGGAGUGGAGUGAGAUUAAGGGAAAUGGAGGUAACUGGGCUCUGUGACCAGUUGGAUUUGGAGAGUAAAAGAUGAUUCUUGCUUGAUUAUCAGGUUCCAGAAUAGAGCGGCCGCUAAAUGAGGAAAAGAGGGAUCGAGGGCAGUACAGCUCCUGAGUACUGUAGAGAAGGCGGGGUCUUUGAAGAGUCUCAGCGAAACUCUGAUCCCAAGAGGAUUCCCUGCUUUUGCACGCAGUGCCUGAGAGACAUCAAACUGAGGAAAUAAUACCAAACACAAAAGUUCAGUAGGCGGGAGCACUUCCCAACUCAUUUUACCAAAUAGGCAUCUCCCAAGCCGAAAUCAGAGAUUAAAUGAAAAAAGCAAAACAAAGAACCCUUUAGAUUACCAUAUUUUAUGAAUCCAUAUGGAAAUAUAAACAAGGCAAAUCCAACAAUAUAUAAGAGCUACCUUGACCAAAUGUGAUUGAUUGAUCUAGGAGUCAAGAUCAAGGUUGAAAGCAUUUGAAAAACAACAAUAAAUUUAAUUUACCAUAUAAACAAUAUUAAGGAGAAAUAAUAGAUGGUUUCAGUAAAUAAAAACAUAUGACAACAAAAUUCAAUUUUUAUUCCUAAUUUUUUUUCUCAGUGCUGGGAUUGAACCAGGGGCAAUUUACCACUGAGGUACAUUCCUAGCCCUUUUUAAUUUUUACUUAAAAAUUGAAUAAAAUGGCUCACUAAAUUACUGUGAUGCUCCUACCUCCUGAGUUCAUGCACAGACAUGCACCACCAUACCCAGCUAUUAAUGAAUUAAAAAUAUAAAAAAAAUUUUAAAAGCUUAACAAGUGCUGGGGUUGUGGCUCAGUGGUGGAGCGCUUGUCUCACAUGCAUGGGGAACUGGGUUCAAUCCUCAGCACCACACAAGUAAAUAAAAUAAAGGUAUUGUGCGCAUCUACAACUGGAAAAAAAAAGGCUUUAAAAAAACUUUUAACAAACUAGCAAUAGAAAGAAACUUUCUGGUUGGGGGGGUUUGUUGUUGUUUGUUUGUUUUCUUUUUUUGUUUUACUUUUGGCUGAGCUGGGGAUCAAACCCAGGGUCUCAUGUAUGCCACCAUCUAUAGCUCCAGGUCCAAAAUAAAUGUUCUCAAACUGAUAAAGGAUAUCUACAAAAAGCCUAUCACCAACAGCACAGUAACAGGUGAAAACCAGUGUUUCCCCAAAAGCCCAUUCUUACCACUUCUAUUCAAUAUUUUACCUGAGGUCCUAACAUGAUCACAAGAAGGAAAAGGCGCACUGAUCAGAGAGGAGGAAGUAAAACUCUACUCACAGAUAUCAUGACUUAGGGUACAAAAAAGCUACUGGGACUAAUAAGCAAGCAGAAAACACAGAAUACAAGACUAAUAUACAAGAAAAGCCACAGUUGUGUAGAGUGCUUGCCUAGCACACACACAAGAACCUGCGUUUGAUCCUUAGCAACACACAAGUACACAUACACAAACUGUAAUUCUGUAUACUAACAGCAAUUUGAGGAAGACAUUUUUAAAUAUAUACCAUAUGCUGUGGCAUCCAAAACAUGAAGUAUGUAAAAAUAAAUCUGGGCUUGGGAUGUAGCUCAGUGGAUACAGAGUGCUAGUCUCGCAUGCACAAGGCCCCGGCAUCACAAAAAAUAAUAAUAAAUAAAUAAAUUUAACAAGAUAGAUGUCAGGCCUGGGCACAGUGGCUUGAGAGACUGAGGCGGGAGGAUCUCAAGUUCAAAACCAGCCUCAACAACUUGGGGAGGCCCUAAGCAACUUAGUGAGACCCUGCUUCAAAAUAAAAAAGGUUGGGAAUGUGGCUCAGUGGUUAAGCACCGUGAGUUCAAUCCCUGGUACCAAAAAAAAGAUACAGAUCUGUACUCUAAAAUCUACAAAAUACUGCCAAGGAAUAUUAAAGAUCUAAGCAGAUUGUAAUGCAUUCAUGGAUUGAAUAACUCAAAACUAUGUCAGUUAUACCUAUAUUGAUCUUUGCAUUCAAUAAAAUCCCAAUAAAAAUCUCAAAAGGGUUUAUUAAAGAAACUGAC
rnacentral:lncRNA from 1 species